rnacentral:rRNA from 1 species
GCUUGCUUCUCUUGAGAGCGGCGGACGGGUGAGUAAUGCCUAGGAAUCUGCCUGGUAGUGGGGGAUAACGUUCGGAAACGGACGCUAAUACCGCAUACGUCCUACGGGAGAAAGCAGGGGACCUUCGGGCCUUGCGCUAUCAGAUGAGCCUAGGUCGGAUUAGCUAGUUGGUGGGGUAAUGGCUCACCAAGGCGACGAUCCGUAACUGGUCUGAGAGGAUGAUCAGUCACACUGGAACUGAGACACGGUCCAGACUCCUACGGGAGGCAGCAGUGGGGAAUAUUGGACAAUGGGCGAAAGCCUGAUCCAGCCAUGCCGCGUGUGUGAAGAAGGUCUUCGGAUUGUAAAGCACUUUAAGUUGGGAGGAAGGGCAGUAAAUUAAUACUUUGCUGUUUUGACGUUACCGACAGAAUAAGCACCGGCUAACUCUGUGCCAGCAGCCGCGGUAAUACAGAGGGUGCAAGCGUUAAUCGGAAUUACUGGGCGUAAAGCGCGCGUAGGUGGUUCGUUAAGUUGGAUGUGAAAUCCCCGGGCUCAACCUGGGAACUGCAUUCAAAACUGACGAGCUAGAGUAUGGUAGAGGGUGGUGGAAUUUCCUGUGUAGCGGUGAAAUGCGUAGAUAUAGGAAGGAACACCAGUGGCGAA